ACCUGGCUGGCUCAGUCGGAAGAGCAUGUGACUCUUGAUCUCAGGGUUAUGAGUUCGAUCCCCACGUUGGGUG
rnacentral:tRNA from 1 species